UACGUAGGGGGCAAGCGUUGUCCGGAUUCAUUGGGCGUAAAGCGUGCGCAGGCGGUCUUGCAAGACAGAUGUGAAAUCCCCGGGCUUAACCUGGGAACUGCAUUUGUGACUGCAAGGCUAGAGUGCGGCAGAGGGGGAUGGAAUUCCGCGUGUAGCAGUGAAAUGCGUAGAUAUGCGGAGGAACACCGAUGGCGAAGGCAAUCCCCUGGGCCUGCACUGACGCUCAGGCACGAAAGCGUGGGGAGCAAACAGG
rnacentral:rRNA from 1 species